rnacentral:rRNA from 1 species
ACGGUCCUAAGGUAGCGAAAUUCCUUGUCAGGUAAGUUCUGACCCGCACGAAAGGUGUAAUGAUUUGGGAGCUGUCUCGACAAUGUACUCGGCGAAAUUGUAGUACUAGUGAAGAUGCUAGUUACCUGCGACAAGACAGAAAGACCCCAUGGAGCUUUACUGCAGCUUGAUACUGGGUUUCGGUAAUUUAUGUACAGGAUAGGUGGGAUGCUAAGAAGUAUGUGCGCCAGCGCAUAUGGAGCAGACGUUGGGAUACCACCCUUAAAUUACUGGAAUUCUAACUAUAAGUCCUAAGCGGGCUUGAGGACAAUGUCAGGCGGGCAGUUUGACUGGGGCGGUCGCCUCCUAAAGAGUAACGGAGGCGCGCAAAGGUUUCCUCAGCGCGGACAGAAAUCGCGCGAAAGAGUGCAAAGGCAGAAGGAAGCUUAACUGAGAGACAGACAUGUCGACCAGAUACGAAAGUAGGUCUUAGUGAUCCGGUGGUUGUAAGUGGAAAUGCCAUCGCUCAACGGACAAAAGUUACCCUGGGGAUAACAGGCUUAUCUCCCCCAAGAGUUCACAUCGACGGGGAGGUUUGGCACCUCGAUGUCGGCUCAUCACAUCCUGGAGCGGAAGUACGUUCCAAGGGUUGGGCUGUUCGCCCAUUAAAGUGGUACGCGAGCUGGGUUCAGAACGUCGUGAGACAGUUCGGUCCUUAUCUGUCGCAGGCGAAGGAUAUUUGAAGGGAGUUGACCUUAGUACGAGAGGACCAGGUUGAAGGAACCGAUGGUGCACCAGUUGUACUACCAAGUGCAUAGCUGGAUAGCUAAGUUCCGAAGGGAUAAACGCUGAAAGCAUCUAAGUGUGAAGCCCACCCUAAGAUAAGAUAUCCCAUAUCGAAAGAUAGUAAGAUUCCAAUAAGACUAAUUGGUAGAUAGGUUGGAGGUGUAAGUAUAGUGAUAUAUUGAGCUGACCAAUACUAAUAAAUCGAGGGCUUAACUAU